AAGAUAAUUAUUUAGUAGAUAAUACAUUAAUUUUUUUUUCUAAUUAUCAUCUUGCUUUGGUCAAAGACUUCCGAAUCAUCGACCUAUGAGAUCACAUAGGAUAUUCGCUCCCCUUAUUAGGAGUGACUGAUCCCUUAUUAAUCACUCACAACCUUCAUGCAUACUUCAUCAUAUCCAGACACCCUCACAAGGAUCAAAAAAUCAAGUUAGGUAGUGAAU
rnacentral:lncRNA from 1 species